CAGUCGCCGCGGUAAUACAGAGGAUGCAAGCGUUAUCCGGAAUGAUUGGGCGUAAAGGGCAUCUAGGCGGCCGGAUAAGUCUGGGGUGAGAACUUGCGGCUCAACCGCAAGCCUGCCCUGGAAACUAUGCGGCUAGAGUACUGGAGAGGUGGACGGAACUGCACGAGUAGAGGUGAAAUUCGUAGAUAUGUGCAGGAAUGCCGAUGAUGAAGAUAGUUCACUGGACGGUAACUGACGCCGAAGUGCGAAAGCUAGGGGAGCAAACAGGAUUAGAUACCCGCGUAGUCCCUGUCUCUUAUAC
rnacentral:rRNA from 1 species